rnacentral:tRNA from 1 species
GCCCCUGUAGCUCAUAAGGAUAGAGCAGCAGUUUCCUAAACUGCGUGUGGCAGGUUCGAUUCCUGCCAGGGGCACCA